rnacentral:tRNA from 1 species
GGAACUGUGCCUGAAGCCAAAGGGCCACUUUGAUAGAGUGAAUAAUGGGGGUUAAAGUCCCCCCAGCUCCU